UUUUAUGGUCCAGGAUAAAUAUUUCCAAGUUUAAGAUAUCAUCCUCUCAGUAACGGAACUUCAAGCAAAACCCACUCUGGAAGACAUACAUGAUAAAAGCACCCUGUCAACCACAGACACAUCCCACAGCCAUUUCCCCCUUGUGACAGCUCAUAAAAUGCUGCAUAAUAGUUCCAGUGUGAGUAUGAGAAAAUACUGAAACAACGUCAAGAGAAUCAAGCAAAAGGCAACUGGUCCCCUGGAUCCAUCUUCAUUGGGUCCCACUGGACAACUUUUUGCCGGAUGAACUGUAGAGGCUGGUAAUACCACAGACAACAUUCCAGGAUAGCAAAAAUUUAAGAUGUUACCUGAAGGAAUUUCUGGAGCCCUACUCUAAACCCAAUCCUGAAGAUGUCACAGAAGGGAGAAAGAAAAUGGUGGAUCUAAGAAAAUAUUGGAAAAACUGAAAAGUCCCUGGGGAGACAGAAGUUGGCUCCAUUCUGAGUCCUAGCUGAAGCAACAACCAACUAGAAAAUGCAUGAGAAAUCCAGGAAUCAUCCAGAAGAGCAUUAAAAAACCUAAGGAAGACAUUGGAGAAUUCGUAUGCUAUUUUAGCUGGCUCUGUGAUUGCAAUCACACAAAUCACUCCAUUCCAGAGAGAUUUCACGAACAGGAGGUUUUUCCAUUUCAGCCUUUCAAGG